UACGUAGGGGGCAAGCGUUGUCCGGAUUCAUUGGGCGUAAAGAGCGUGUAGGCGGCCAGGUAGGUCGGUUGUGAAAACUGGAGGCUCAACCUUCAGAGGUCGACCGAAACCAUCUGGCUAGAGUCCGGGAGAGGAGAGUGGAAAUUCCAGGUGUAGCGGUGAAAUGCGUAGAUAUCUGGAGGAACACCGGUGGCGAAGGCGGCAUCCUGGACCGAGAUUGACGCUGAGGCGCGAAAAGCCAGGGGAGCAAACGGG
rnacentral:rRNA from 1 species